CCCUUAGAUGCUCUGGGCCGCACGCGCGCUACACUGGUCGAUGCAACGAGUUUCUUUCCUUGGCCGACAGGCCUGGGCAAUCUUUGAACAUCGAUCGUGAUCGGGAUAGAUUCUUGUAAUUUUUGAUCUUAAACGAGGAAUUCCUAGUAAACGCAAGUCAUCAGCUUGCAUUGAUUACGUCCCUGCCCUUUGUACACACCGCCCGUCGCACCUACCGAGUGAAUGGUCCGGUGAAAUCUCCGGACUGGCGUGAGUCGGAGCAAUCUGACAAACACCGGAAAGUUGAUUAAACCUUACCAUUUAGAGGAAGGUGAAGUCGUAACA
rnacentral:rRNA from 1 species